GCAAUCCACCGGAAGGAGGAUGGCGAACGAGUAACACGUGGGUAACCUGCCCAUCAGAAGGGGAUAACUUGGAAACGUGCUAAUACCGUCAAACGAAACCGCAUGGUUUUGAUUUGAAAGGCGCUCGGGUGUCUGAUGGAUGGACGCGGUUAGCUAGUUGGUGAGGUAACGGCUCACCAAGGCGACGUUAUGCAUAGCGGUGGCCACAUUGGGACUGAGACACGGCCCAAACUCCUACGGGAGGCAGCAGUAGGAUCUUCCAAUGGACGAAAGUCUGACCGAGCAACGCCGCGUGAGUGAAGAAGGUUUUCGGAUCGUAAAACUCUGUUGUUAGAGAAGAACAAGGAUGAGAGUACUGUUCAUCCCUUGACGGUAUCUAACGAAAGCCGGCUAACUACGUGCCAGCAGCCGCGGUAAUACGUAGGUGGCAAGCGUUGUCCGGAUAUGGCGUAAAGCGAGCGGAGGCGGUUUCUUAAGUCUGAUGUGAAAGCCCGGCUCAACCGGGGAGGGUCAUUGGAAAUGGGAGACUUGAGGAGAGUGGAAAUCCAUGUGUAGCGGUGAAAUGCGUUUAGAUAUAUGGAGGAACACCAGUGGCGAAGGCGGCUCUCUGGUCUGUAACUGACGCUGAGGCUCGAAAGUGGGCAACAGGAUUAGAUACCCUUCCACGCCGUAAACGAUGAGUGCUAAGUGUUGGAGGGUUUCCCCUUCAGUGCGCAGCUAACGCAUUAAGCACUCCGCCUGGGGAGUACGACCGCAAGGUUGAAACUCAAGAAUUGACGGGGGCCCGCACAAGCGGUGGAGCAUGUGGUUUAAUUCGAAGCAACGCGAAGAACCUUACGGUCUUGACAUCCUUUGACCAGUCUAGAGAUAGAGCUUCCCCUUCGGGGGCAAAGUGACAGGUGGUGCAGCUCGUGUCGUGAGAUGUUGGGUUAAGUCCCGCAACGAGCGCAACCCUUAUUGUUAGUUGCCAUCAUUUAGUUGGGCACUCUAGCAAGACUGCCGGUGACAAACCGGAGGAAGGUGGGGAUGACGUCAAAUCAUCAUGCCCCUUAUUGGGCUACACACGUGCUACAAUGGGAAGUACAACGAGUCGCAAAGUGCUAAGCUAAUCUCUUAAAGCUUCUCUGUAGGCUGCAACUCGCCUACAUGAAAUCGCUAGUAAUCGCGGAUCGCACGCCGCGGUGAAUACGUUCCCGGGCCUUGUACACACCGCCCGUCACCACGAGAGUUUAACACCCGAAGUCGGUGAGGUAACCUUUUGGAGCCAGCCGCCUAAGGUUGGAUAGAUGAUUGGUGAAGUCGUAACG
rnacentral:rRNA from 1 species